rnacentral:rRNA from 1 species
AGUGAACGCUGGCGGUAGGCCUAACACAUGCAAGUCGAACGGCAGCACAGUAAGAGCUUGCUCUUACGGGUGGCGAGUGGCGGACGGGUGAGGAAUACAUCGGAAUCUACUUUUUCGUGGGGGAUAACGUAGGGAAACUUACGCUAAUACCGCAUACGACCUACGGGUGAAAGCAGGGGAUCUUCGGACCUUGCGCGAUUGAAUGAGCCGAUGUCGGAUUAGCUAGUUGGCGGGGUAAAGGCCCACCAAGGCGACGAUCCGUAGCUGGUCUGAGAGGAUGAUCAGCCACACUGGAGCUGAGACACGGUCCAGACUCCUACGGGAGGCAGCAGUGGGGAAUAUUGGACAAUGGGCGCAAGCCUGAUCCAGCCAUACCGCGUGGGUGAAGAAGGCCUUCGGGUUGUAAAGCCCUUUUGUUGGGAAAGAAAAGCAGCAGGUUAAUACCCCGCUGUUCUGACGGUACCCAAAGAAUAGACACCGGCUAACUUCGU